rnacentral:rRNA from 1 species
CCUACGGGCGGCAGCAGUGAGGAAUAUUGGUCAAUGGGCGGGAGCCUGAACCAGCCAAGUCGCGUGAGGGAAGACGGUCCUAUGGAUUGUAAACCUCUUUAGGCGGGGAGCAAUGCCGGGCACGCGUGCCCGGAGGGAGAGUACCCGCAGAAUAAGCAUCGGCUAACUCCGUGCCAGCAGCCGCGGUAAUACGGAGGAUGCGAGCGUUAUCCGGAUUCAUUGGGUUUAAAGGGUGCGCAGGCGGGCCUUUAAGCCGGCGGUGAAAUCGCGGGGCUCAACCCCGCCGAGCCGUCGGAACUGGGGGCCUUGAGUGCGGCGGAGGCAUGCGGAAUGCGCGGUGUAGCGGUGAAAUGCAUAGAUAUCGCGCAGAACCCCGAUUGCGAAGGCAGCGUGCCGUGCCGCCACUGACGCUGAGGCACGAAAGCGCGGGGAUCGAACAGGAUUAGAUACCCCAGUAGUC